CCUACGGGUGGCAGCAGUGAGGAAUAUUGGUCAAUGGGCGGAAGCCUGAACCAGCCAAGUAGCGUGCAGGAUGACUGCCCUACGGGUUGUAAACUUCUUUUAUACGGGAAUAACGCGCCUUACGUGUAGGGCUUUGCAUGUACCGUAUGAAUAAGGACCGGCUAAUUCCGUGCCAGCAGCCGCGGUAAUACGGAAGGUCCGGGCGUUAUCCGGAUUUAUUGGGUUUAAAGGGAGCGUAGGCGGCAUGUCAAGCGUGCUGUGAAAGGUUCGGGCUCAACCCGGGACUUGCAGUGCAUACUGGCGUGCUUGAGUACGCUGAAGGUAGGCGGAAUUCGUGGUGUAGCGGUGAAAUGCUUAGAUAUGACGAAGAACCCCGAUUGCGAAGGCAGCUUGCUGAAGUGGAACUGACGCUGAUGCUCGAAAGCGUGGGUAUCGAACAGGAUUAGAUACCCUAGUAGUC
rnacentral:rRNA from 1 species